CCCUGAUGGCUCAAAUGGUUAAGGAUCUGCCUGCAAUGCAGGAGACCCAGGUUCCAUCCCUGGAUCAAGGG
rnacentral:tRNA from 1 species